UUAGUUAAAACCAAAAAGAGGUGUGUCACUGUUAAUGAUUUAAUUGAUUUAUUAAUCUAACUAAA
rnacentral:tRNA from 1 species